GUGGGGGAUAUUGCACAAUGGGGGAAACCCUGAUGCAGCGACGCCGCGUGAAGGAAGACGUACUUCGGUAUGUAAACUUCUAUCAGCAGGGAAGAAGAUGACGGUACCUGACUAAGAAGCCCCGGCUAACUACGUGCCAGCAGCCGCGGUAAUACGUAGGGGGCAAGCGUUAUCCGGAUUUACUGGGUGUAAAGGGAGCGUAGACGGUGAAGCAAGUCUGAUGUGAAAACCCGGGGCUCAACUCCGGGAUUGCAUUGGAAACUGUUUUUCUUGAGUGCUGGAGGGGCAAGCGGAAUUCCUGGUGUAGCGGUGAAAUGCGUAGAUAUCAGGAAGAACACCGGUGGCGAAGGCGGCUUGCUGGACAGUAACUGACGUUGAGGCUCGAAAGCGUGGGGAGCAAACAGGAUUAGAAACCCGAGUAGUCC
rnacentral:rRNA from 1 species